rnacentral:rRNA from 1 species
UACGAAGGGGGGCUAGCGUUGCUCGGAAUCACUGGGCGUAAAGCGCACGUAGGCGGCUUCUUAAGUCAGGGGUGAAAUCCUGGAGCUCAACUCCAGAACUGCCUUUGAUACUGAGAAGCUUGAGUCCGGGAGAGGUGAGUGGAACUGCGAGUGUAGAGGUGAAAUUCGUAGAUAUUCGCAAGAACACCAGUGGCGAAGGCGGCUCACUGGCCCGGUACUGACGCUGAGGUGCGAAAGCGUGGGUAGCGAACAGG